ensembl:lncRNA
GCCCAGUCCAGGGCAAAAGAUGACAGGUGCAAAUUUCUAUGAUACAAGAAAUGGGACUGCGGGCUCUAAGUGCCUAGUAAGCAGUGAGGCCAGGAGGAGCUCUCGAGUGGUCAGAUUUUCCCUAUGAUCCUUUGGAAACCAAGUCAGAUCACGUGACAUCUCUGCUCUGAACCCUCCCGGGACCGGUCCUCCGACCCAGACUCAGAGACACAGUCCCUGCCAUGCGGAGCGGUUCCCCUGCUGACACUUUGGCCUCAUUUCAUGCUCUGCUCCAGCCACCCCAGCCUCUUUGCUGUUCCCAAG